GGGCAUGGUCGGCUCCCUGGUCUGUGCCUGUUCCCUGAGCCAGGACUUUGAUUUCAGCGUUCCUUUCUCUAAAGCCACGGCCACUGCAGCCCAGCAGUGACUCAAGCAGAUGGCUGUUGGUGACAAGCCUCUUCUGAUUGGUAAUAAAAAUACCAGAAGCUACACUGCAUUGUGUACAAAUACGUGAGGCUAUUGCAGAUUCCUUUGUAUCUCUAGAUUCUAUUUUGAGAGCGGGUUGAUCUUCUCCAUGCAGAACCCUCACAGAAUGAGCAAUCACGCCAGGUCUGGUUUGCUGCCUCUACUUCCUCAUUUCCACUCUGAUUUCACAAAGGGCAGAAGUUUCAAGCUGUACAUCAAAACCUGUUUCUUCUAUCUGAGCACAGAGCCUGUCCUCAUUCCGGGCGCCCUUUGAAUUUGGGUGUGUGCCUGUGUGGCCAACUUCUGAUGGGUACAACCUUCAAGGUCAAGGUUUUUAAGAAGUAGAGAGAUCUCAUCUGCAUUCUCUCCUUUUACCAGCUGAAUGUGGACAAUGAAGAUAAGGCUCUAGGGAACAGUGGAGACACAAGAUAGAAGGAGCCCUGGGUCUUCAAAUCACUGGACAGAGGAAAGUGUCACGCCAACCAGGGACACAUGCCUUGGGUUGUUAGAUGGGUAGAAAUAAGUUUCUAUUAUGUUUGAGCCCUUAUACAGCUGUGGAUCUACUUGUUACAGCAGCCAGUAUCACCAAAUGAAGUUAAAGAUCCUUCCGUGGAAAGGGAGUGGAUGGAUCUUCUCACCCAGAACCUCUUACCUCAGGGGAGAAAGAGCAGUGCAGGAGAGGCUCGGAUGUCACAGGCCGGGAAACAGGUAGUCCCAGGAGCUAAAGCCCUGGGACAGAGAAGGAACACCACUAGGUACAGGAGCUCAGCCCACAGGAACUCCAGUCCCGGGUCUCUGUCUUCCAACUUCUAUGCAUGCUUGUGUCUAACUAUGCCUUUGUGCAAUGAGGAGUCCAUUUUUUAAGUUGUACCAGAGAAAUUAGUCAACACAGCGGCUUUUUUCUAAAUGCAGAAAACUAACAAAAUAGAGAAAAUCCAUAAAAGUUUGCUUUGACAAUAUGAAGAUAAUAUAAACAAAGAAUUACAGCCAUUAUGUGAACUUCUCAUUUUGUCUAGUUACUAUGCAGCACAAUAAGAAGACUUAUCAUUAAAUAUGUCAGAUUUGCUUUGUUGUCAGUUUAUUUGAUCGCGACGCCAAACUUUCAUCUUGAAUGUACAGCGUGCAUUGUUCAUGCUGCAGCUCACAGCUUAACAAACUAGAGUCAAACUCACUAUCCUCUAUCAUAAACAGCUUUAUGGCUGAGUAAAAUUUGAGAACAUUUCAUCAGUAUUUACAUUUUAUGGGUUUUGUCAACUUGCUUUAAUUUUCAACCGUGUGGACUGAAUUAGAAAGAUGCUAAACAGUGAGACUGUUGCUGAGCCAGAGAUCUGAGGCUUUCGAGGGAUCCUUUGGUCUUAGCAAAGCCUGGCUGCUUCAUGCCACACUCCUGGUCGGUCAGACCAGGCUGAGGUUUGCCCAUCAGUCUGACUUUGCUUCCAAGACCUCCACAUCUGCUUACAUUAAAUUAAUUGUAUAUAUUACUUGCAAUAUUGUAUAUAUUAAGUGCAUAAUAAUAUACCAACGUUAUUAAAGUGUUCUGGCAAAACUACUCUAUGUGAACAGAGGAAAAUAUCACAGUCCAAUACCGGAUGAUGCUAAUAAAAUAAUAAUAACAGCAUCCAACACUUACUGAGCAGAUACUAUGUGCCAGGUACUGCCCUAACUGUUUUCCAACUUAAUGAAUGUUUACAGUAAUCCCAGGAGGGAGGAAGAGUGGCUCAUUACUUCCUCACAUAAAUUUUGAGACAAUACAGAACUUCCCAAAGUCACAAAGCCUGGCUAGCUAGGGCUAACCCAUAAAUGAGGUAAGUAACCUUACUCACUCCUUCCAACUUCUCUUUUACUACACUUUCUCCUUUACUACAUCUUGAGAAAAUACCAGUCCUGGCUUAGGUGAAAGGGAGAGGGAGGGGGAUUUGUGUUCACUGCUCCUCACUGUUCAUUGAAAACUUGGGGAGUGUUGACAUUGUUGUGGGGUGAGGUAGGAGAGCUCAUAUCACACCUGUUCAACAAUGAUAUAUUCAACAAAUGUAUAUUGUAUUCAACAUGUAUAUAUAAGAUAAAUAUAACACACACACACAUAAAACAAAUAUAUGUACAUAUAUAUCGCUGGGUGCUGAGGACAACCUUGUUCUCAACAAGCUUAUGAUUUCCUUGGGGAAGGCUGAAGGGUGAACAAUUACAAUACACUGGAAAAGUGCUGUGAUGACAGGAGUGUGGGCCUCUGUGGGAAGGAACCUCUAACCCAAAUUUAAGGGCAAAUGGGGAAGGCUUCCUGGAGAAAGAGGCAUCUAUGCUGAGACCUAUAGGACAGGAGGGAACAAAACAGGAGAAGAAAGAAGGCAAGAAAAGAGAGUUCCAGGCUGCGGAAGCAGCACCACACUAGCGGUCUGUACCAGGAGAGAUGGUUACAUACGGCCCAUUGACACUACACUGGCUUCACCAGAUGAAGCGCUAAACAGCCCUUUCCAGAAAGUUUUCUCCUCUCUACUACAGGGCCUGAUUUUCUCGACAUUGAUCCAUUGACAAAUGUUUCUAUCAAUAAACCAAUCAGAUUUAUUAUUUACUACACAGAAGGCACCGGGUGAGGCCUAGAGGAGACUUCCAAGAGCUCUGAAACUCUGCUUCUAUUUUCAGAGUUUACUGAGUGUGGGUUUGGAACAUUCUCAGAGGGGAAAAAAAAGAGAGAGAGAGGGAGAGAGAGAGAAAUUUAAUAGUAAUCCAGACAUCAGAGGAGGAGGAAGAAUGAUAGGAGGCUGAAACACUCAGCCUGGCUUUAGACCCUCACUCAGCCACACCCUCACUAUGCACGCAUGCUUGAGCUACUCAACCUUUCUGAACUCCGGCUCCCCAUUCAUCGAGUGGGAAAAAUAAAAGGUCCCUUUCAGGAAGAUGGCAGGGAUUAAAUAGGGACCGCCUGUACAGCACCUAGCAUGCUGCCCAGCACAGAGCAAGCUCUCGAUAAAUGUCUUAACCGUGAUCAUAUUAUUAUAAUUUCCCUUAAUUCGCCCCAUAAAUACUUGGGUGCCUCCUCCGUGGUGCCUCUUGUACUUUUUAUUUCAGGACUCCUGGGUUCAUGACACACCAACCAUCACCCCAGCACCCGACUCCUCUUCUUCCAUUGGACUCUGCCCUCAAGCCUGCAGCAUAUAGCCAAAGAAACACAACUCAUGAGCCCUGGGGAAGCUGGUUUUCCUGUCUAGAAGCCGUCCUCAAAGUCUCCUGGGCACUUCCCCAAGUCUCCCCGGCCUGUUUGUCUCUGCACACACAGAUUGCUUUCUCCUGACCGCUUGCAGCCCUGUCUUUACUCGGCCAUUAAUUGUACAUCAUCCCUGACAUCUUUUACCGUGUUCUGCUAUAUUUUUAUUUAUUAUUGAUUCUACACAUGCCUAACAUUUGCUAAGUCCAAACCAUGCGCUGACAGCACUUAGCAAUGGUCUUGCUGAAGGGAUAAAAGACUAUUAAAUUGGGUUGAAACA